UUCUGGCUCAGGAUGAACGCUAGCUACAGGCUUAACACAUGCAAGUCGAGGGGCAGCAUUGGAGUAGCAAUACUUCAGAUGGCGACCGGCGCACGGGUGAGUAACACGUAUCCAACCUGCCGCUUACUCGGGGAUAGCCUUUUCGAAAGAAAGAUUAAUACCCGAUGGUAUAAAGAGUUCGCAUGUUCUCUUUAUUAAAGAAUUUCGGUAAGCGAUGGGGAUGCGUUCCAUUAGAUAGUUGGCGGGGUAACGGCCCACCAAGUCUACGAUGGAUAGGGGUUCUGAGAGGAAGGUCCCCCACAUUGGAACUGAGACACGGUCCAAACUCCUACGGGAGGCAGCAGUGAGGAAUAUUGGUCAAUGGACGAGAGUCUGAACCAGCCAAGUAGCGUGAAGGAUGACUGCCCUAUGGGUUGUAAACUUCUUUUAUAAGGGAAUAAAGUGAGGGACGUGUCCCUUUUUGUAUGUACCUUAUGAAUAAGGAUCGGCUAACUCCGUGCCAGCAGCGGC
rnacentral:rRNA from 1 species